CCGAGAGUUGUAGGCUUCUGUCUACCAUCUCUUACCCAUGUCUUUUGCGUACUACACGUUUCCUCGGCAGGUCCGCCUGCCGUUAGGACAAUUUAAACCAUUUGCAGUUGCAGUCAGCGUCUGAAAAAACUUAAUAAUUA
rnacentral:misc_RNA from 1 species